rnacentral:lncRNA from 1 species
UUGGUAUCAAGUUUCAAAUAUCAAUCAAUGCUGUGCAACAAAUGAGGUUUGUGAGAGAUCUGAUCCUGACUGCUAAAUCUGUGAUCUUAUGCCCCACUUUUGGUGGGUCCAUUAAGGGCUAGCAACGCAAAGUGAUGUAAAUUUAAUUAAGGACAGAAAGGGGUGGGAUCUUCAAGAUAUACCUAUAUUACAACGUCUAUGGCUAUCUUUUCUUUUCCUCCAUUGAUAGACGGGGGAGGUGAAAAAAUUCACAGGUGUUGGGGUCUAUUCCCCAUUGUUCAUUGAUGGUGAUUGACCAUCACUUAUUGCCUAAUUGAUAAAAGAAUAACGGCCAUCAUCUUUUUUCUUCUUUUUUUUUCGGUUUUGGGACAACAAUCCCUAGGGAUCCAGCAAAACAACUGUCCUCUACUGUUGUAAAGGAUUAAAGAUGGAGACAACAACGUAUCCCCAAUCCCAUGAGAUCCAAAGUGUUUAGAAUUAGACUCAAUAGGAUGCUCCUCUUUG